rnacentral:lncRNA from 1 species
CAGCGAGUCCACCGGACACGUCAGCGUCGCCGGUGUCGGCGGAGGUGGCGGGCAGGGUGUGGUCACCGCCGGCGGGGUCGGGUAGGUCACUGGUGGUGCGGUCACCGGCGGGGAAGGGUAGGUUAUUGGUGGGGCGGUGAUUGGUGGUGAAGGGUAGGUGACUGGAGGGGCGGUCACCGGCGGUGAAGGGUAGACGACGGGAGGGCUGACGACAGGGCCCUUGGGCGGGCCGACCACAGGUGGGACGGUGAUUGGGCCCUUGGGUGGGCUGUAGACCGGGGGGCGAGGGACGGGCCGGCCUUUGGGUGGGCCGACGACGACCGGAGCUGGGGUCUUGGGCUUGGGCGGGCGGAUGGCCGGCGACGGCGAGGGGUAGGAUGGGCCCUUGGGCUUGGGUUUGGGAGCGGGCUUGGUGGGGCCCGUCUUGGGGGAGGGGAAGGAGGGCUUGGUCUUGGGCGGGUGGGAGUGCGACGGCUUGUCGCAGU